rnacentral:rRNA from 1 species
AUGCACGCUGGCGGCGUGCCUCAUACCUGCCAGUCGAGCGAACAGACGAGGAGCUUGCUCCUCUGACGUUAGCGGCGGACGGGUGAGUAACACGUGGAUAACCUACCUAUAAGACUGGGAUAACUUCGGGAAACCGGAGCUAAUACCGGAUAAUAUAUUGAACCGCAUGGUUCAAUAGUGAAAGACGGUUUUGCUGUCACUUAUAGAUGGAUCCGCGCCGCAUUAGCUAGUUGGUAAGGUAACGGCUUACCAAGGCAACGAUGCGUAGCCGACCUGAGAGGGUGAUCGGCCACACUGGAACUGAGACACGGUCCAGACUCCUACGGGAGGCAGCAGUAGGGAAUCUUCCGCAAUGGGCGAAAGCCUGACGGAGCAACGCCGCGUGAGUGAUGAAGGUCUUCGGAUCGUAAAACUCUGUUAUUAGGGAAGAACAAAUGUGUAAGUAACUAUGCACGUCUUGACGGUACCUAAUCAGAAAGCCACGGCUAACUACGU